GCGAGUCGGCGGCUGGGGCGCCGCGCUCACACCGCGGCGUGCGCUCGGGCUGCGCGGGCUCUCGGCGGCCGCGGCAACAGCAGCAACAGCAUCUUCUUUUCCUUUUCUUUCCUUCACUUCUGUCUUCCUCCUCCCGCCCCUCUUGCUCCUUCUCUUCCUUCUUCCCUUGCCCCGCUGCCCCUUUCAUUCCUUCCUUGGAGGGCGUUAGCUCUCCAGGUCCGUGAGCAGUGGCAGCGGCGACUGGGGUGCAUCCAGUUUCUGCGCCCAGAUUUUGUUGAGCUGAUCCAAGAUAACUUGUGACUGCUGGCUUGAACCAAGGUUGGUAGUUUGUUUAAAUUGACUGUGAAGUAACUUAAAAUAAGGCAUCUUGAGCCCUUAGAUAGCAGAG
rnacentral:lncRNA from 1 species